rnacentral:rRNA from 1 species
AUGGCGGCCACGCCAUGGCUGCUUCUUCUCUGCCUCAGCCUCGCCGCCGGAGGGGCGGAGCCAGGAAUUCUAACAUGGGCUAGCUCCGCCCCUGGCGUACUACAAGCUCGUGCCCAGCCUGACAGCAACGGAUUCAUAAGCAUAGACUGCGGACUGCAGGGGGAGGAGGGCUAUGUGGACACGGCCACCAAGCUCUCGUACUACCCGGACACCGGCUUCACCGACGGCGCCGGCACCUGCCGCAACAUUUCGGCCGACUACAUAAUGCCGUCCUUGUGCAAGUGCUUGUACACCGUCCGCAGCUUCCCAGCCGGCGCGGAGAACUGCUACACGCUCCGCUCCCUCGUGCCCGGGCUCAAGUACCUCAUCCGGGCCAAGUUCAUGUACGGCAACUACGACGCCCUCCGUCGGCCGCCUGUCUUUGACCUCCACAUCGGCGUCAACCACUGGCACACCGUGAACAUCUCAAAACCGCAUGUGGAGAAGUCUGUGGAGGCCAUCCUUCUGGUGCCAGACGACUUCGUGCAAGUUUGCCUGAUCAACACCGGCGCUGGGACGCCCUUCAUGUCUUCGUUGGAGCUCAGGCCGCUCAAAAAGACGAUCUACCCGCAGGUGACUGCGGCACAGGGGCUCCUGCUCUCUGAGAGGAUCAACUUCGGCCAGAUUGAUGAAAACAACGUCAUCAGGUAUCCCGACGAUACACAUGACAGAAUAUGGACGCCUGUGGUCAGCUCUGGAACAUAUACCGGGGUAUCGACGACGAGCAAGGUCAUACCGGACAGCCUCUUUGAGGUACCGACAGCUGUGAUGCAGACGGCGAUGAAGCCACGAAAUGUCUCAAGCGGCAUAUCGUUGUCUUGGGACCCUGAGCCCCAACCCAACAAUCCAUCGCCAGGGUACAUCAUCAUCAUGCACUUCUCUGAACUAGAGUUCCUCCUGUUCAAUGUCACACGCUGA